UGGGCAGGGCUCAGCACACAGGUACCCUGCAUGGAACCCUCAUGCAGAGCACCCCCAGCCCUCUUCCUGGUCACCUCAGAGCAGGACCUGGACUAACAGCCGCUCCUGGGCAGGACACUGGGCUGCACUCUGAGAAGUUCCUGUUGCUCCCCUGACCAUCAUGUGGCCAGAGAAAUUGUCGAUUCUCUCCUCCGAAGAGAACAGAGCUGCCCCUCGUCUUUCAGCCCAGCUCUCCUGUGUUUUCUCAGCACCUCGGCGGGACAAGACAGAGCCCGCCAGAACCAAGGUCCUUUUUCGCGUUUAGGUGAUUCAGUUCCGUUCAGUUGCUCAGUCGUGUCCAACUCUUUGCGACCCCAUGAAUCGCAGCAUGCCAGGCCUCCCUGUCCAUCACCAACU
rnacentral:lncRNA from 1 species